rnacentral:rRNA from 1 species
UACGUAGGUGGCAAGCGUUGUCCGGAUUUACUGGGCGUAAAGAGCGCGCAGGCGGUCCGAUCAGUCGAAUGUGAAAGCCCCCGGCUCAACUGGGGAGGGUCAUUCGAUACUGUCGGACUCGAAGGCAGGAGAGGGAAGCGGAAUUCCAGGUGUAGCGGUGAAAUGCGUAGAUAUCUGGAGGAACACCGGUGGCGAAGGCGGCAUCCUGGACCGGCAUUGACGCUGAGGCGCGAAAGCCAGGGGAGCAAACGGG